GUAACUUCUGAUCCCGUCUAGAUUUGUGGCUGAUAGUGAAGGGAAGUUGGUUCCCAAUCCCGAUUUUGUAACGUAUCAUUAGUAAGAUAAGCUUCUUGCUUCUUGGCUUUUAUCUAAUAUUAGUACUAAUCUUCUAUUGUGUUUUACAAGAACCACCUCUGCUCGUGAAGUCUAGACUAAGGCUUGUCAACUGUUUGCUGCAGUUUCCAGUGGUAAAGUCUCUCACCUGAAACAUGAUUUACACUUGAUCAAGAAAGGGCAUUUAUCUGUCAAAGAGUAUCUGGCAAAAAUUAAAGUUACCUGUGAUUUGCUUCACACCUCUAGUCAUCUCAUUUCCAUCAAGGAGCAAGUUGAGAUUGUUCUAGCCGAUUUUUUAACUAAAUUCGAGUCUAUGCUCACCAUUGUAUCUUUCUCAUCAGAGCCUCUAGCUAUAGACCACAUUUUGGAUAUACUGUUAAAGUGUGAAUGACGACAACAUCGAUUUAUCUCAAAGAUCC
rnacentral:lncRNA from 1 species